UACGGGGGGGGCAAGCGUUGUUCGGAAUUACUGGGCGUAAAGGGCUUGUAGGUGGCCAACUAAGUCAGACGUGAAAUCCCUCGGCUUAACCGGGGAACUGCGUCUGAUACUGGAUGGCUAGAGUUUGGGAGAGGGAUGCGGAAUUCCAGGUGUAGCGGUGAAAUGCGUAGAUAUCUGGAGGAACACCGGUGGCGAAGGCGGCCUUCUGGACAGUGACUGACGCUGAGACGCGAAAGCGUGGGGAGCAAACAGG
rnacentral:rRNA from 1 species